ACGUCAAGUCAUCAUGGCCCUUACGAGUAGGGCUACACACGUGCUACAAUGGCGCAUACAAAGAGAAGCGACCUCGCGAGAGCAAGCGGACCUCAUAAAGUGCGUCGUAGUCCGGAUUGGAGUCUGCAACUCGACUCCAUGAAGUCGGAAUCGCUAGUAAUCGUAGAUCAGAAUGCUACGGUGAAUACGUUCCCGGGCCUUGUACACACCGCCCGUCACACCAUGGGAGUGGGUUGCAAAAGAAGUAGGUAGCUUAACCUUCGGGAGGGCGCUUACCACUUUGUGAUUCAUGACUGGG
rnacentral:rRNA from 2 species